UUUAGAUUUGUUCCUAUUUAAUGAAAAUGCUGAUAGUGACACAUACAUGCAUAGUUAAUAAUUUUAAAAAAUCUGGAUGCAGGGUGCUGAAAUAAAAAGGUAGAAGAAUAGGAGGGAAAUCUCAGUAGAUGAUGAUAAAGGAAAAAAAUUCCCGUUCAAAGAGUGCAAAGAACAACAAAUGAGUGAAAGGAACAAUGUUUGUCAGCUAUUGUUGAGUAUGGCUCAUAAUCACUCUUAAGUGGGCAGGGUCAAUUGAGCGGAACAUGAGAGACCUGUCCUUGGACCAAGCGCAAACGUUUGUUAUGGAAUGAUGACUUGGGGUUUGGUUUAGGGAUGAUGUUGUAGUCAGGACUGUAGUAUUUAAAUAUAAGUUGUGCAUUGUAAACAUUAAUUUUUCACUAAAACCAUUGAACUGAAGGGAGUUGAUCCUGCACAUUCAACGGCAGAAUUCUUUGCAGACUUGGUCAUGUUGAGUUUUGUUUUCAAAGAUGAUAUAAAAUAGAGAAGACAUUGCCCUUCC
rnacentral:lncRNA from 1 species